rnacentral:rRNA from 1 species
UACGUAGGGUGCGAGCGUUAAUCGGAAUUACUGGGCGUAAAGCGUGCGCAGGCGGUUUUGUAAGACAGGCGUGAAAUCCCCGGGCUCAACCUGGGAAUGGCGCUUGGUGACUGCAAAGCUGGAGUGCGGCAGAGGGGGAUGGAAUUCCGGCGUGUAGCAGUGAAAUGCGUAGAUAUGCGGAGGAACACCGAUGGCGAAGGCAAUCCCCUGGGCCUGCACUGACGCUCAUGCACGAAAGCGUGGGGAGCAAACAGG